AACGAACGCUGGCGGCAUGCCUAACACAUGCGAGUCGAACGAGACCUUCGGGUCUAGUGGCGCACGGGGGCGUAACGCGUGGGAACCUGCCCUUAGGUUCGGAAUAACUCCCCGAAAGGGGUGCUAAUACCGGAUAAUUUCUUCGUACUAAAGAUUUAUCGCCUUUGGAUGGGCCCGCGUUGGAUUAGCUAGUUGGUAGGGUAAAAGCCUACCAAGGCGACGAUCCAUAGCUGGUCUGAGAGGAUGAUCAGCCACACUGGGACUGAGACACGGCCCAGACUCCUACGGGAGGCAGCAGUGGGGAAUAUUGGACAAUGGGCGAAAGCCUGAUCCAGCAAUGCCGCGUGAGUGAUGAAGGCCUUAGGGUUGUAAAGCUCUUUUACCCGGGAUGAUAAUGACAGUACCGGGAGAAUAAGCUCCGGCUAACUCCGUG
rnacentral:rRNA from 1 species